rnacentral:rRNA from 1 species
CUGUCGUCAGCUCGUGUUGUGAAAUGUUGGGUUAAGUCCCGCAACGAGCGCAACCCUUAUCCUUUGUUGCCAGCGGUCCGGCCGGGAACUCAAAGGAGACUGCCAGUGAUAAACUGGAGGAAGGUGGGGAUGACGUCAAGUCAUCAUGGCCCUUACGACCAGGGCUACACACGUGCUACAAUGGCGCAUACAAAGAGAAGCGACCUCGCGAGAGCAAGCGGACCUCAUAAAGUGCGUCGUAGUCCGGAUUGGAGUCUGCAACUCGACUCCAUGAAGUCGGAAUCGCUAGUAAUCGUGGAUCAGAAUGCCACGGUGAAUACGUUCCCGGGCCUUGUACACACCGCCCGUCACACCAUGGGAGUGGGUUGCAAAAGAAGUAGGUAGCUUAACCUUCGGGAGGGCGCUUACCACUUUGUGAUUCAUGACUGGGGUGAAGUCGUAACAAGGUAACCGUAGGGGAACCUGCGGUUGGAUCACC